CACCCUCUGGCUCUGUGACCUUGGGCAAGUGACUCGAUGAAUCAGAAGCCCAACUUCCACAUCUGUAAAAGCUUCCUGGAGAAAUUGUAAGGAUUACACAACCUGUGCCCCACGGAAGGUGACGAGCAAAUAACUUAAUGACCAUGUUGCUGUCAUUGGCAGUAAGGGGCUGACUUUCGGUUUGGGCUAGACAAUGGCCCCGACUUGGAAGCUGUCCCUUCUGGAGAUCAGAUCCCACCUCAAGCUCUCAACUCAGUGGCAGCAGAAAGGAGUGGAGACACCUGCUUCCGACGGGGAAUUCUCUGCCUCAAUCUGAGUUACGAAGAAAUAAAAACCGUGUGACCAGAGCCUUACAUUUAUCUCGCAUUUUGCAGCUUGCAAAAGAUACUCAGUUCUACCACCACUCCAGUGUUGCAGUUAUCGCCCGUCUCUCCAACCCAACUCUGGCCAUCUGCCCCGUGUCUGAAGGGACUACACGGUGCAAAGGCCGAAGGAAGAGAUCCAAGUUCUGUUCCUGCUGCCUGACCUCAGGCAAAUCACUAACUCUCUCUGGACCUCAGUUUGCUUAUCUGAAAAAGGGGUAGGUAAAGUCUAGAUGAGCUCUGGGAGCCCGCCCACGCUUCUAAAGCUUCCAGUCUGGCCCCCUGCCUGCAGCUCCGCCACAGAAGAACCGGGGCCCAGGGCAACGUCUGGCCCUAUCCUGGCACCUCGGUGCUUUGUCCUGCUGGGGACAUCUGCAAGUCUCCCCAGGCCUCCGUGGAUGGCCCCAGCUGCCCUCUCUGGUGAGCUCAGCACAGCAUUCGUGAGAACCGAUGGUGGAGAUAAAGACAGACAUGCCGAAAUGAGGCUCUCUCUCUCUCUGUCUCUGUCUCUGUCUCUGCCCCACGCAGGUUUCCUCCCUCAAGGCAGCUGCAGACUGGCCUGGGGGAGGACUGGUUGCCAUUCCAGAAGGAGCAAAAACUCGGGGUGGACGGGUUCCAUUAGCUCAUUCUUCUAAUUGUUCUGGCUGGUUAUUGUUUCUCCUGAUUUAUUUCCAAUUAGCGCUAGGGAGCUCAGCUUGGGGUUGAUUCUGCCAGUUUCCCGGAGCCAGUUCUCAGCUAUUUCUGGCUUGGCCAGACCCAAAGCCUUCCUGCUUCCAUGCUAGCUGCCAUUCGGGGAGGGCCUUCUGGGCACUUAGACCACGCUGCCUGCCACCCUCCCGACAGCACUUGUGAAGCUGGUCUCGCCAUCGCCAUUUCACAAAAGCGGAAACUGAGGCUCAGUGAGGCGGUGAGGCGAAGGGACUUGCCCAGGUUCCCACUGGCGGUGAGCGGGCGGUGAAGGCGAAUGCUGCCUUACAGACCGUCAAAGACAGGCGCGUUUCAGUAAAAUUGGUUGCCAUGGUCUGCUUUUAUUGCGCCCGGCGCACUGCCUUGCCAUCGCAUUACUUGCACUACUUAGAAACAAUUAAUCCACAAAUAAACCCCAGGCCUCGUCUUCCAAUCGGAAACCCAGCUUCUGGGACUUUUCGGGCCGUUUCUGAGCUAGCCGGGAAAUCUCCUGGUCAUAUUAGGAAUAAGCGAAGCCAUUUGGGUUUUAAUAACAUGGUGAGAAAAUGGUGUGACUUUAAAGUCUUUAUUAGCCCUGGAAUGCAUUUUCCAAAGCAGGAAUUAGCUGACACAGGCAGAGUGUCAGCUGGAAAAACAAGGUCUGGGUUAGGUGGCCCAGAAAAAAACCUGCUUUGGUGCCCAGAGCCUCCCACUGAUUUCAAUUGCUGGUUAGCACAGGCCAGCAGAAUAAUUGUCCCAUUGGUGAACGUGCCAUUAGAAAUGACCCCACACAGCUAAUGGGGGUUUAAUACUGGCUUGCUUGGUCCUUGGUAUGGGUCCUGUUCUCAUUUUUAGGAAGAAAAUUACCUGUCUGUCAUUUCUUUUAAACUUGUACAGUAAUAAUUAGCCAGGCCCCAAAGAGAAACUGGUUCCCCUUAACCUUGGCCGGAUGAAGGCUCAGUGACCCAUUAAAGUCUGUGAAGUCAUUUGACUCUGGCUGGCUAGGGAGGCAAUGUGGCAGAUAUUUGAUAGAAAAUGGUUAUAAUACCUCACAUUUGUUCCUCCUUUUACACUCUUCAGAGCUCAGGGUAACCUUGGGGUCAUGAGCAAGGAUUCUCACGAAGGGGUCGGCCAACCAUGGCCUGCCAGCCAAUCUGACCCACCUCAUACUUUUGCAAAUAAAGUGUUAUUGGAACA